rnacentral:tRNA from 1 species
GGAGAGGUGGCUGAGUGGUUUAAAGCGGUGGAUUGCUAAUCCAUUGUACUCCUAAGGGGGUACCGGGGGUUCGAAUCCCCCCUUCUCCGCCA